rnacentral:rRNA from 1 species
GACGAACGCUGGCGGCGUGCUUAACACAUGCAAGUCGAACGGUGAAGCGCCUUCCUUUUUGGUGGGUGUGGAUGAGUGGCGAACGGGUGAGUAACACGUGAGUAACCUGCCCCCUUCUUCUGGAUAACCGCAUGAAAGUGUGGCUAAUACGGGAUAUUCUGGUUCUGUCGCAUGAUGGGUCUGGGAAAGAUGUUGUUUCGGUGGGGGAUGGGCUCGCGGCCUAUCAGCUUGUUGGUGGGGUGAUGGCCUACCAAGGCGGUGACGGGUAGCCGGCCUGAGAGGGUGGACGGUCACACUGGGACUGAGACAAGGCCGAGACUCCUACGGGAGGCAGCAGUGGGGAAUAUGGAACAAUGGGCGCAAGCCUGAUGCAGCGACGCCGCGUGAGGGAUGGAGGCCUUCGGGUUGUGAACCUCUUUCGCCAGUGAAGCAGGCCUGCCUCGUUUGUGGGUGGGUUGACGGUAGCUGGAUAAGAAGCGCCGGCUAACUACGUG